rnacentral:rRNA from 1 species
GACGAACGCUGGCGGCGUGCUUAACACAUGCAAGUCGAACGGAAAGGCCCUGCUUUUGUGGGGUGCUCGAGUGGCGAACGGGUGAGUAACACGUGAGUAACCUGCCCUUGACUUUGGGAUAACUUCAGGAAACUGGGGCUAAUACCGGAUAGGAGCUCCUGCUGCAUGGUGGGGGUUGGAAAGUUUCGGCGGUUGGGGAUGGACUCGCGGCUUAUCAGCUUGUUGGUGGGGUAGUGGCUUACCAAGGCUUUGACGGGUAGCCGGCCUGAGAGGGUGACCGGCCACAUUGGGACUGAGAUACGGCCCAGACUCCUACGGGAGGCAGCAGUGGGGAAUAUUGCACAAUGGGCGGAAGCCUGAUGCAGCAACGCCGCGUGCGGGAUGACGGCCUUCGGGUUGUAAACCGCUUUCGCCUGUGACGAAGCGUGAGUGACGGUAAUGGGUAAAGAAGCACCGGCUAACUACGUGCCAGCAGCCGCGGUGAUACGUAGGGUGCGAGCGUUGUCCGGAUUUAUUGGGCGUAAAGGGCUCGUAGGUGGUUGAUCGCGUCGGAAGUGUAAUCUUGGGGCUUAACCCUGAGCGUGCUUUCGAUACGGGUUGACUUGAGGAAGGUAGGGGAGAAUGGAAUUCCUGGUGGAGCGGUGGAAUGCGCAGAUAUCAGGAGGAACACCAGUGGCGAAGGCGGCUCUCUGGGCCUUUCCUGACGCUGAGGAGCGAAAGCGUGGGGAGCGAACAGGCUUAGAUACCCUGGUAGUCCACGCUGUAAACGGUGGGUACUAGGUGUGGGGUCCAUUCCACGGGUUCCGUGCCGUAGCUAACGCUUUAAGUACCCCGCCUGGGGAGUACGGCCGCAAGGCUAAAACUCAAAGGAAUUGACGGGGCCCCGCACAAGCGGCGGAGCAUGCGGAUUAAUUCGAUGCAACGCGUAGAACCUUACCUGGGUUUGACAUGGAUCGGGAGUGCUCAGAGAUGGGUGUGCCUCUUUUGGGGUCGGUUCACAGGUGGUGCAUGGCUGUCGUCAGCCCGUGUCGUGAGAUGUUGGGUUAAGUCCCGCAACGAGCGCAACCCUUGUUCACUGUUGCCAGCACGUUAUGGUGGGGACUCAGUGGAGACCGCCGGGGUCAACUCGGAGGAAGGUGGGGAUGACGUCAAGUCAUCAUGCCCCUUAUGUCCAGGGCUUCACGCAUGCUACAAUGGCUGGUACAGAGAGUGGCGAGCCUGUGAGGGUGAGCGAAUCUCGGAAAGCCGGUCUCAGUUCGGAUUGGGGUCUGCAACUCGACCUCAUGAAGUCGGAGUCGCUAGUAAUUGCAGAUCAGCAACGCUGCGGUGAAUACGUUCCCGGGGCU